rnacentral:rRNA from 1 species
AUUGAACGCUGGCGGCAGGCUUAACACAUGCAAGUCGAGCGGAGAGAGGUAGCUUGCUACUGAUCUUAGCGGCGGACGGGUGAGUAAUGCUUAGGAAUCUGCCUAUUAGUGGGGGACAACAUUUCGAAAGGAAUGCUAUUACCGCAUACGUCCUACGGGAGAAAGCAGGGGAUCUUCGGACCUUGCGCUAAUAGAUGAGCCUAAGUCGGAUUAGCUAGUUGGUGGGGUAAAGGCCGACCAAGGCGACGAGCUGUAGCGGGUCUGAGAGGGUGAUACGCCACACUGGGACUGAGACACGGCCCAGACUCCUACGGGAGGCAGCAGGAGGGAAUAUUGGACAAUGGGCGGAAGCCUGAUCCAGCCAGGCCGCGUGUGUGAAGAAGGCCUUAUGGUUGUAAAGCACUUUAAGCGAGGAGGAGGCUACUUUAGUUAAUACCUAGAGAUAGUGGACGUUACUCGCAGAAUAAGCACCGGCUAACUCUGUGCCAGCCGCCGCCGUAA